CUGGUAUCCGCGUAGGGUGCGCACCUACUACUACCCACUGGGUAGCUACCUCUGCCACCCACCCGACCUAACCCGUCACCCACUCUGGCCACCCCACUGCUUCACUCGCUAACGCCACGUUAGGAACUCCCUCUCUCCCUCUAUCCUUUUCUUUCUCGUUCCCUCCCUAUGGCUUUACCGUGCGCCACUCGCUCCGUCUCUCUUCGGGUUUCGCGGUCUCUACCCUUCCUUCCUUCGACAUUCGAACUGGUUUCCACCGUCUCUAUCGACCCCGUUAAACGAACGUUUGGCUAUCUUCGUCCGAGCUUCGCGCGCUCCCGGUUUAUACUCCCGUCGACGGUUUACACCGGCGCGGCGCCGCUUUCCUUCCAACGCGCCGCUUUUCUUCUACGAUUUUCUCCACCACCACGGACCUCGUUACCUUUCUAUGCUUCUGCUUCUUCACCAACCACGCUGUAGUUUCUCAUUUUGUCACGGCGAACUCGCUUCAUGCUGCUUAUCGUUGUUACCACCGGUGUGCUUAUUACUCCUACGUCCUCUCGGUUCGAGUCUGUUCUCUACGUGUCUUCGAUGCUUUACUUUAGAUAGCUUUGUUUACGUUCCGCCUAUUUUCAGCAGACUUUCUUUUCGCGGCUAUUUCUUUCUUUCGCUUUCUUUGUCAAACGAGUUUGUUACGUUUCGUCCGUUUUCACUCUUCGUCGCUAAUAAAAUUUCAUCUAAUUCGUCGUUUGCUGGUACCUGUACGUAAACCGGAUAUCGCGUGACUUUUCUCCUCGUCGUGCACGUCUUUCACUUCGGGACGACGUCGAUACGUUUCGACGCCGCACUUUCGAAAUUUCCAAUCGUUCUAAUUGGUGGAGAGCGAAGAGUACGAUUUCUAUCAAUAAUUCCGAGAACGUGCGGUCUAUCCACGGCUAUAGUUACGUCCUACUUUUUAUUUAAAUGGCAACUGCGCAGCCUGAUAGGGAUGAACGUCGAUGAAAGUUUGAUGAGAGACCCGUCAUAGGGCGGUUGCGAAACGAUUAAAGUUUCACCGGAUUCCGCUCACUGAUUCUCCGCUUUCGUGAUUCAUGGGUACGCGUCCGACCGAAGAUGCGCCCUACGGACGCGAAUCGUUCGUUUUAGACGCUUGUUAAUAUCGAUUCGGGAAAAUUGGCCUCGACGAAGGUAAACGACGAUAAAUGGCUGAAAUAUGGAUUUUGGGAUAUCGUUCAAGGUAUUUUCUAAAUCACCGGUCUUUGUUACAAUCGUUUGGUAAUUCCAACACGAGCAGAUGCAUUUCGCGAAUCAUUCGUUGUACACGACCGUGACGCAAAAUAGCAAACGAUUAUUGACAGAAUCUCAUCCGAUUCGCGUUGUCGAAUCGAGCUGAAAAACGAUCACUGCGACCGAAAACGUGGAACGCUUGAAAGAAACGUUCAUCAUCAUUACUGUAAAGAAAUAUCCGCUAAAUUAGAAAACUGCUCGUUCUAAGAACCGUCGAGUUCCACGUGUACAAACAUUUCGCGACUGGUUGGAGCAUUUCGAACAAACGACAGGCUCAUGCACGAUUUCAAGCAUCCGCAACGUUCGAACAACGCGAAUGUGCCCGCUAUACCCAGAGAAUACAACGACUACUUCGAAUAGUAAACACAUUACCCGCGCCCUUUCUGGUCCGCGUGAUUUCCAGUACAUCUCGCUCUUUGUACGCUCUUUGCGCUUUAGCAACGUACGAAUUUUGUCUCUAGCUUGUUCCUCUCACGCGAUGGUACCAAGCCACCACGAGUUACGCCGAGAACGAUCACCGGGUCUCUACGAGAUUUUAAAAUGAAAAAUCUAACGAAAAGUGCAAAGAACCACCGUUAUUUUUCAUGAAAAUGUGCUCUGUGUUUGCUAUUUAAAACGAUUCGUUGUAUUCUUCCGUGUUGUAAUUUAAUUUUAUUAGUUGCGAGACUAAAGGAACGAUACUGAUUUUCACUACUUUAAUUUUCAACUCGCUGACACCUCGAUCCAUAUUCCCAACGUUUGCUUCGUGCGAUUAAACGAUACGGAUUUUUCUCCUCUUCGAGGAUCUGAUCCUCGAAACGUCCAACGUGAAUGGAACAUGGCCAAUAGGGGAAAAUCUCAUGCAUUUUGAGCUAAAAAAAAGUCAAAUUCCCCGUUCCCUUCGUGAAACGCGGGCCGAAACGCGGCCGCGAUUUAUUGCCUUGGCACGAGGCGAUCGUAAUAUCGGGUCGAGCGAUAUCGGAUCAAGCCUCGACUGAGUAAUUAACGUAAAUCGAAAAAAAAGACGAUACCUUCGAGUCGGAAUCGGCAAAGUCUAAUUGGUCACUUUCAUCGACAAAUUAUCGCGGAUAAAGAAUAUAUCGACGAAGAAUCGAUCAUUGGUACAACAAACCGGAGCGGAGGGCGAGAAGGCUUUCGAUUUAAAUUCGAUUUCACAUUUAUACAUUCGCGUGUAGUUUAAACGGGAAACUUGUGUAGAAACUCGUUUCAUUUCUCGUUCUCGUUUAUAACACUCCCAUCCCUCCACGCAUCCAUUGGCUGGAUCUUCAAAUUUCCAGCCAAAACUUUCAACAAGUUCUGAUAUUUGCAUUUCUUGAGUGAACGAAUCGCAGAGUCGGUAGCUUCUCGAUCUUCCACAGCUAUUUUCCUGAGAAAUCAAUUUUUCUGAAAAAAAGAUCUCCAUUCGAAAGGAAAGAUGCUGGCCACGGAAGUCGAGGCAAAGAAACGGGACGAAGAAUGUUGUUUGUUCGGAGAAGAUUCGUGAAUCAAAGCGAUCGGUGUGCAGUAGUCAUUGGAAAUACGUCGUAAUGGCACAGCAGUUCUCUCGACAAACAAGAUUCAGCUCGAUCGUAUACGUGGCGUGCAAACGGACGACGCUUUGAUUUCUCUUGCUCGUAAUUGAACGAUCGAACAACGUGUAUGGCUUUCAUCGUUGAUCGCAACGAAGGAUUGUCCUUAGGACGUGUUCUCGUCCGCGACACGUGCUUCUGUCCAAGUCCAAUGGAUGAAGCGAAUCGCACGCGUUUCGAAUGAAAUCCUCUGUUUUAGACUUAAACCGACGUUUAUCGUAGGCUCGAUAAAUCGGUUUCGUUGAAUCUUGCGGCAAGACUGGAUCGGAGAUUGCUUAAACUCGUUUAGAGUUUAACAGAUAGCCGCUCAUUGGAGAGAACGAAUGGUACGAGAGACUCGUGCUAGCAAAGCUUGGACAAGAAAAGUUGGAGAACUUAGCGGAAUAUAGCUAUACGGUUCAAUUUGCUACGUAUUGGGCGCCAUAGGCCGUUCACGAUGUUUGGAAUCGACAUCGCGGUACAACGAAGGCUCAACGAGGGUCGAUCGUGUAAUCGAGAACAGAUAGGGCGGCACUGGUUUCAACGCGAACUCCAGAUGAUCGAUCAGGUCGAACGGGUUACAUGGCGAAUUUUAUGCUUUUAGCUUAACCACACACAAUACCUCGGCCACUCGCGGAAAUUUAACAUUCGACUGUAUCGAGUUUGAAAAAUGCACUCACGAUUUAUCAUCGGCGAUAAUUCAACGACGUUGCAGCGACAAACGGCUGGUUUGCCUCUUUUCUCUCUUUUAUUGUUACGAGCGUUUCGAUAUCGAAAAAGCGAGACAAGCUAGAGAAAAGGCGAGAGCAGACGGUCGAAAGCCGAUCGACUCGUCGUUAAACGAAACUAUUUAUUUUUAUUUCCCCGCGGCCAGACGGCGAAUCCCUUUAUCGUAGAAUCCUCUUACGGACUCCAAUUCUGAAAUACAGCUUCGAAACCGGACCACUACAUGCUCCAUUUCGCCCUUUUAUUCUCAAAAGCUUCUCGUUUACCUUAUCUUCCGAUUUCAAGUCUAGUCUGUCUUGUAUUUCCUCCGAUUGUUCCCUGUGUAUUUUCGACCAAUCGCGGGGAGACGAAAUCACGAAAAAACACGUCAACCGAAGUCGUAAAUUCCCGUUGCGAUUAUAAAAAUCGACAUCACGAGUUGAUCGAUCCCCUGAUUUCCGUUAAGAUAAUGGAGGUGUUUGAGAGGGUAACGAUUAGCGAUUAACAGGGUUAUAAAAUUUAUAUUUUUAACACUUAAGUUACACCGUUGCUUAUGGUAUACAGGGUGGUUGGUAACUGGUGGUACAAGCGGAAAGGGGGUGAUUCUACGCGAAAAAAGAAGUCGAAAAUAUAGAAUACAAAUUUUUUUUUUAUUUUUUGUUUUUAGUUUUUCCAUCGAAACAACGAUCUACAGUGAAAUCCGUUAUAACGUACCUCACGCGUACCGAGCAAAAAUUCAAAGUCGAUUUUCUCGGAAACAAAGCCUCAAACGAAAAAUUUUUAUUCUAUAUUUUCGACUUCUUUUUUCGCGUAGAAUCGCCCCCUUUCCGCUUGUACCACCAGUUACCAACCACCCUGUAUAUCGUCGACAAUGAUUUAGCGUAUAGAGAUGCGAUACUCGUUGGCAGAAUAUUCGUUGGUGAUCGAGCAAGGCUCUUAGAGUUUUGUUAUAGUUGACGUGGCAAUAAGGGAAAAGACAGAAAAUGAACUAACCCGGUACUGACAUGUUGAUUAUUCUAACGUUGUAGAAUAAGUAAAAUACAGUGACGAUACUGAAUCAGAAGAAAGCUAACGAUGGAUGUGUCUAGCGCACGGGAUCAUCGGAUUUGUUCAUGACAUUUUUGGUCAGGAAAGUGAGGGCAGUAUACAUUGCUUCUGAUUCGAUAAACGAGGGUUGGUGGACUCGGAAGGGUCCUAGCCACCCUCGAUAGAAAGUUGCUAGUGGGAAGCAUCGUAAGUGAGAAAACCUAACUUUCCCGUGUCAAGCUGUAGUAGACAAUAAUCUACAGAAAAUGCUUUAGAAACAAAGACCUGUUCGGUCUGUAGAACCUUAGCUAGCAAAUUCCUGAGAUUUACGAUGGAUCCUUAAGACUAUUGAGUGUACGCAGUAAGGAUGAGCGGACAUCUGAUUCCCGUCUGUUCCCGUAAUACCCUGUGUAUCGAGAAUUUCGCGAAUCGUUCGACCAGCUAUUCCAAUGCAGAUUAUGAGCAAUGUUUGCGUCGAAAUAUUUGUAGCGGCACAUGAGUUAGAGGACAAUUCAAAUCAUGUUGUUGUUUUGCCUCGGAAUAUCAAGAUCGUUAGGACACACGCAAUGUAAGAAUAAAUAAACUCCGAGCAAAACAACGCCGCUGCUACGUGCAACCGUCGAACAAAGACGAAUUUGAAUUUUCCGACUCUUCCUCGACCAGUAUAAAUAAGCGGACGCGAUCGCAAGGAAAUGAGUUACAGUCAGUUGUCGAUCAGUUAUCAACCAGUUAUCAACCAGUUAUCAACGAAUUAUCAGCGAUCUAAUUAACGAGUCAUUAGCGAUCCUAUUUUACGACUUAUACACUGUCUCAGCGAAUCGGUUAGUACGAGCAUCUUUGUGAACAUUAUCUGUAUACUAAUUUAUCAUUUUAAAUAUAUUCGACGGUUUCAACAACGAGCAAUCUCGUUCAUUAAACCUCACCGACCAACCAUCCUCUACACAUAAACCUCUACAUAUUUGUCGGACAAAUUCGCGGUCCUUAAAAGUAAUUCGACUGAACCUUAGAAAACGUUAACAAAUGUUACACAAACAUAGCAGACGUUUCGUGCGAUCGCCAGCUUUUCAGUUCGAGCAGCGAGGAGCAACGAUUGUCCGGUUUCACGAGUCGAAAUUCCAUUGUUUCUUCCGUGUAAAGCACUCGAAUCUCGCGAAUGAAUAAAAUUGUAAUAUCUCCGGGAACGUGUAGCCACCGACAACUUCGAUCUCGAGCGACUUUUAAAGUCUACCCUAACGCAAAAAGUUUCCACGAGUUGGCGCAAAAACUACGACAGACAAGUUUGAUAAGCCAUUAUCACGAAGAAAUCCUCUUUACGGAAGGAUCAGUGGACAGAAGAAUGUUGUCAAACUCGAGCUGCUCCGGUUUUCACUUUAAUCUCGAUAUUCGUGAAAUAUUGUGAAAUAUAAGGUAGCAAAAAAGUCUGUAAGAUGACGUUCAAGUUUCGUUUACUCGAGUAGCUGUCAGCUUCGUAUUCAACGAGAACAGCGUAGGUGUUCAAGACGAACAACUCUAAACAAGAAUGAUAAAUUAUCCGCGCGAAACAUCGGUUCUGACAGCUUGUAUCUUUGAUAAUGAAAUAUUAGGAUCAAAUUACUUCUUGAGAACAGGCAAAACGAUACCAAGUCUUCUCGAAAUUCUGAAUUACCGUCAGAUGAAUAACAAGCAACUGUUUUUUUCCGAAAUUCCCUUCUCGAGUCCGAGAAUAAUGAAAAAUGGCAAGCAGCAAGAUUUAUCUCCUGCAAUGCUACAUCCACGGUAACCACGGAAGACGAGCAUUAAAGAUGACAAACGAUUUUGCCUCGCCGGUUAAUCUCCGUUGCUGCGAAGUAACGCGUUCUCGAUAGAAUGAUCGAUGCAAUAGCAAAAUGCGAUAGCAAGGUGUAAUAGCAAGAAGAUUCGAUAGAGCUAAAAGGCAACGAGACGCGUUAAAUCACGUACAAACCUGUAUCAUGGCAACUAAGUUUAUGCUAACCACUCAACGAUCGAAGCGAGAUAGUCGUGUGAAACCCCAAAGGACAUGGUAAUUCUAAGACGAGUCGACCAUCCCAGGUACCGUUGAUCGUAGAUCAAAACCAUCAGCAACUUUAGACCUCAACCCAAGUAAUUGACACUUGGAGAUUGACACUUCUCGCGCAGGUGGUAACACGGAUCUUAACAAUAAGAUAAAUGAAUAGUUGUUACCCCAAAAAUAUGACAAUAUUGUAUAUGGAAUGCGUGGACGAAUGUAUAAUAGAAAUAUAUUUAAGUAAGUUUAACACUAGAACUACCACACCAAUUAAAUUGACUGGUUUUACAAUUUUAUUAUAAAAUUCCUACUUCAUGUAAAAAUAUUCUGUUAUUACGUAUUUUUUAAAGACCAGUGAUUUCCACUGGUUUUGGUAGAAAUAGCUUUGUGUUAACUAUCGGUAGUUCUAGUGUUAAGUAUAAGUACAAUGUGUAUGCUAAUGAAGAUCCGCACGCUGGCUAUGGGUAUUUAUACAAUUACGAAAACUACCCUGUCUGUAACCGACUGCAUCAUUUGUGCAAAACGUGUUCCUAGAAAAGGCUAUGAGGCUGAGAGGUCCUUGAAAUUGAUUUAGUGAUAAACAAUAUUCAAUGGCUUCGAGGACUAAGAAAACUAAACAUCAGAAAAGAUGCGGAGUUUUGCUGGAAGUGGGAUCCACUUCAACAGAAUAUCUUACGUAUUAUUGUAGCAUCGUAUAAAGAUGAGUGGCAACGAAAUCGGAAGACCGUUUUUUCGCGAGCACCAGGUGUGUUAGGUGGAUCUAUUAUUCUCGUUAUUAAGGUUUACGGAGAGGAGCCCGCGACACAAUGGGGGCUCGCCUUUUCGCGGCACGCGCCGCUAAGAAUUAAAGAACUAAAUUCGGUCCAAUUAAAUUUACGACCGCUGUUCCUUCUAAUGAAAGCGCGCUCGACUCCUUUUUGUCCACUGGAUCGACUGUGACAGCGUUCUCCAGCUGCUGCAGCCAACAUUUCCCCGUUCAAAACGUGCAAUACACAAGGUGACGUGUGUAAAAGAUCAUUGAUGGAACUGCGAGACUCUAGGUCGUGUAAAAUGUAGAAAUUGGUAUUUUAGAUCGUAAGGUAAGUCGGCUAAGAAAUAAGAAGAGAGUAUAACCCGGAAAUUUUAACAUAGAGACGUUGACUGCGUAAACUGCGGUUAUUUCUUGAAACAAAUAAAUACAAUGGUUCUUAAAGACUGAACUUUUCUGCCUAUAAAAUUCAUCGCGGGAGAACAGGACAUUUUGAAUGUUUGCGAACCAAGAGGACCAGAAGGAUGGUCCGUUUCUGUUUGAUUUCUAAAAUGUGGAUAACCAACCAAUCUGCAAAGACUUAAAAAUACCAACGGUUAAAGAAGAAAUCAGCAGGUACGCAGAAAAAUACAAGGAAAGAACGGCAACACAUCCAAACCAGGUGGCUGCUGAAGCGAAUGAAACUCUCAUAGAAAGAAGACUAAAAAGAAAACACCCCACUGACCUCAGUAAAGAAAUAAAAUAGUCAAACUCGAAGAUCGUAUCCCGCUGAGGGUAGCCAUUCACAUGUUAUUUGGCAAUUAAGUUAGAAAAAUUGAUCAAAUGUCCAACUGGACAAAUUGUAAAGUAGAAAUUAAAAAAUAAAAAAGAAAAAACCAACCCAUCUUCCGUUAGUCAACUCUCAACCGCUGUUCGUUCUGUUAGUACAGAAGAAACCUUUUAGCAUUUUCUUCCGCUGAUCCUUCGCGUCUUCCGUUAACGCUACUUACUAUUUACAAAUCGAUACUAAUAUUCGUAACGAUUUGAAUAUCGUCUGAAUCGUGACAAGACGAUAUCUUAUCUGUUGCGAGUAAUCUACGGUAAUCUACAACGGUAAAUUACAGAAAAGAGAUUGGAUGAAAUUGGAAAAAGGUAGCAUGGACGCGAUAGAACGAUGGAAACGUGGAUGACGGCUGGUUUCACCGUUUCCUCGGGGCCGUACAGUUCCGCUAACGUUUCAUUAAAACUUCUCUGCGAAAGCGCCGGUGUCGUGAAUUUAAUUAGGACAAUUACGCUCCCUCCGUGUUGCCAGCUCCGUUACAGUUUACUCGUGGUGCCGCGGGAGUCAUUUUUACGACUCGAACCCGCGCGACUAAAGUCGUUCCGUGACGUCGAACAUCGAAUUAAAAUCCUCUAAUCACAGGUUUACAGAUAACAACGACGA